rnacentral:rRNA from 1 species
UGCCGCGUGAAGGAUUACGGUCCUCUGGAUUGUAACUUCUUUUAUUUGGGAAGAAAUCCACGGUUUCUACUGUGGUUGACGGUACCAGAUGAAUAAGCACCGGGCUAACUCCGUGCCAGCAGUCGCGGUAAUACGGAGGGUGCAAGCGUUAUCCGGAUUCACUGGGAUUAAAAGGUGCGUAUGCGGGCAGGUAAGUCAGUGGUGAAAUCCCCGAACUUAACUUGGGAACUGACGUUGAUACUAUCUGUCUUGAAUGCUGUGGAGGUAAGCGGAAUAUGUCAUGUAGCGGUGAAAUGCUUAGAUAUGACAUAGAACACCUAUUGCGAAGGCAGCUUGCUACACAGUUAUUGACGCUGAGGCACGAAAGCGUGGGGAUCAAACAGGAUUAGAUAACCUGGUAGUCCACGCCCUAAACGAUGGAUACUCGACAUCAGCGAUAUACUGUUGGUGUCUGAACGAAGGCAUUAAGUAUCCCACCUGGGAAGUACGAACGCAAAGUUGAAACUCAAAGGACUUGGCGGGGGUACGCACAAGCGGUGGAGCAUGUGGUUUAAUUCGAUGAUACGCGAC